rnacentral:rRNA from 1 species
GACGUAGGGCGCGAGCGUUGUCCGGAUUUAUUGGGCGUAAAGAGCUCGUAGGCGGCUUGUCGCGUCGACUGUGAAAUCCCGCGGCUCAACCGCGGGUCUGCAGUCGAUACGGGCAGGCUAGAGUUCGGUAGGGGAGACUGGAAUUCCUGGUGUAGCGGUGAAAUGCGCAGAUAUCAGGAGGAACACCGAUGCGAAGGCAGGUCUCUGGGCCGAUACUGACGCUGAGGAGCGAAAGCGUGGGGAGCGAACAGG